AGCAGCCGCGGUAAUUCCAGCUCCAAUAGCGUAUAUUAAAGUUGUUGCAGUUAAAAAGCUCGUAGUUGAAUUUCGGGAUCAGUAGGUUGGUCAUGCCUCUGGUAUGUACUGGUCUCACUGGUUCCUCCUUCCUGAUGAACCGUAAUGCCAUUAAUUUGGUGUUGCGGGGAGACUGGACUGUUACUUUGAAAAAAUUGAGUGUUUAAAGCAGGCUUACGCUUGAAUACAUUAGCAUGGAAUAAUGAAAUAGGACGAUCGAUCCUAUUUUGUUGGUUCUAGGAUUGACGUAAUGAUUAAUAGGGAUAGUUGGGGGCAUUAGUAUUCAAUUGUCAGAGGUGAAAUUCUUGGAUUUAUUGAAGACUAACUACUGCGAAGCAUUUGCCAAGGAUGUUUCAUUAAUCAAGAACGAAGUUAGGGAUCGAAGACCGAUACCGAGACUACCGUCGUAGUCUUA
rnacentral:rRNA from 1 species